AGACGUAGGGGGCAAGCGUUGCUCGGAAUCACUGGGCUUAAAGGGCGCGUAGGCGGUCAUGUAAGUCCAGGGUUGAAGGCCCCGGCUCGACCGGGGAAAGGCCCUGGAGACUGCAUGACUUGAGUGAGCGAGGGGAGGGCGGAAUUCCUGGUGUAGUGGUGAAAUGCGUAGAUAUCAGGAGGAAGGCCUGUGGCGAAGGCGGCCCUCUGGCGCUCAACUGACGCUGAGGCGCGAAAGCGUGGGGAGCAAACAGGAUUAGAAACCCUUGUAGUCC
rnacentral:rRNA from 1 species